UGGGGAAUAUUGGGCAAUGGGCGCAAGCCUGACCCAGCAACGCCGCGUGAAGGAAGAAGGCUUUCGGGUUGUAAACUUCUUUUCUGAGGGACGAAGAAAGUGACGGUACCUCAGGAAUAAGCCACGGCUAACUACGUGCCAGCAGCCGCGGUAAUACGUAGGUGGCAAGCGUUAUCCGGAUUUAUUGGGUGUAAAGGGCGUGUAGGCGGGAGUGCAAGUCAGAUGUGAAAACUAUGGGCUCAACCCAUAGCCUGCAUUUGAAACUGUACUUCUUGAGUGCUGGAGAGGCAAUCGGAAUUCCGUGUGUAGCGGUGAAAUGCGUAGAUAUACGGAGGAACACCAGUGGCGAAGGCGGAUUGCUGGACAGUAACUGACGCUGAGGCGCGAAAGCGUGGGGAGCAAACAGGAUUAGAUACC
rnacentral:rRNA from 1 species